GAGGCUCUGGCCGCCAGCUCCAUGUGAGUCUGGGUGGAAAUGAUGCCUUCGCAGAGCUGAGAGCACAAAAUGAAGUUGGUGAUUCAUGGGCAGCAGCCACUUGAAAAUAUGAACACUCCUGCGUCCCCAGCCCCGCCGGCCUUUCACACCCAUUUGGAGGCGUGUUGAGCAGAGCUGCUAGCCUGCUGCAUCCUAGUCUGCAUGUGUUUGGGCAGGAUGUGAGGACAGGCCGGUUCUACCCUGACAAGGAGCCUGCAAAGGGCAGCAGCACGCCUGGGAGCACUCCAAGAACGUCUGCCCACCCCCCGAGAGGCCUCGGCUGGAACCCAGGGCAGGGCUGAGUAAGAGGUAAGCCCCGAGAGGACCUGCGGUCACAGAGAAAGGACACUUCCUGCUCCUGCCCUCUGUCUCCAGGGGCGACGCUGGCAACAGAGCAGCUUUCUGAUGACGCUUGUUCUGCUGAACAUACAAAAAUUUACAAUGAGGAAACCCUUGCAGCUUGACAUUUCCCCCCGCACAAUUCCACAGCCCAGCACCUGUCACCUGAAAUAGCUAUUGUUUAUUUUCCUCAGUAACAUCUUGGCUUCCAGGCCAAAGUCUACUUGGAGGCCCAAACUCAACUCACCCUAUGUGAGGAAUGCCCUGGAGGUCUCUCAGUUUCCCACAACCAAACUGGAUUUAAAGGGCCAAACCAGGAUAAGGAGGCCAGCUGAGCUCUGAAGCCAGAUUGUCUGGGUUCAGAUUCUUUCUCUACACUUGCAGCCACGUGGCUUCAGUCAAAUUGCCCUCUGAGACUCAGUUUUUCUCAUUGGUAAAAUGAGGAUAAUUACAGAACCUACCUCACUGGGUUGCGGUGAAGGGUGACAUUUGAGUAGUGGUCAGCCCAGCAUCCAGCACAUGGACAGACUUGAUACUGGACACUGCUGCUGCUGCUUUUGCUGUUGAAGUUGUUUUCACUCCUGGGUUUUGGUCCCUGUACUGAUAGCACUCCUUUGCACACAGUCUAUGGCACUGAGGUUCCUUGUGGAGGUGGUGCCCUGAGGCUUCAAUAGAGACCCUCUGCCCAUCACAAACAAACCCCAUAUCAGGCUGCCAAGCAUAGUGGACUUCACCCCGGGGGCAUCUCAGCCCCAUGCUUGACCGGCCCCUGCCUUUGCCUAGGAACCAAGUGCCUUUCCCUUGGGGCUGGGCUUUGCCCGGGUUGACUACCCUGAUGCUUCUGCUCCUCUAUGUCCUGGGGUGGUCUUGGGGGUAUUAACUGUCACCAUCCAGUGGAGGGUUUCACCGAGGGUCCCAGGUGCUAACAUGAGGUCUGUGGCCAGCAGGCAGCCUGGAUGACUGGCCGGAUAGGCAGCAGGGAGGGCCUGGAUGACUGGCCGGAUAGGCCCACCUCACCUAUGGGCUGCACUUGCAGCACAAACUGCUGAUUCAUGGAGACUCAUGAGGCCUUGGCUAUCUGUACAUUCUCCAUCUCCAGCUGUCGGCCAAAAUAUAAUUGUAGUUGUCACUUUG
ensembl:lncRNA novel transcript